rnacentral:lncRNA from 1 species
AGAAUAUCCAGUCAAAGAGCUAAAAACUGGAAGAUCCAUACUUUAAAGCAUUGAAGAAGGAUAUCCACAGAUGUUACCACUGCUUGUUCAGAAAGAUUGCUGAAUAGAGUGUUUAUAAGAUCAGAGCCUCCCAGGCUACAUUAUAGAGGAACGUGUGCCAGUUUCCUUGGCUUCGACUGAUGGAGUUUUAGAGAAGUCUUUAAUAGCAACACCCAGCAGUCUUAAGUAAGUAUUACAGUAAAAUUCCACCUGAAAGUAAGAAUUAUUUAACAUACAGGAGCUUGUAAUAUAAUUAUCUGAAUGAUUAUCUACCAAAAUAAUAAUAUUUUCCAACCAAUAGCAUGGAUUUAAAUGAAAACAAAACCCAGGUUCAAAGAGACUUAAUAUAAAGAAAAGACUUGUUCCAAUUUGCAACUGAAUG